rnacentral:lncRNA from 1 species
CGGCGGUGUCGAAUCUGACAGAAUAUGCUUUGCAAAAUAACCUAUAAUGGAAGGCAGAGCACUAAUUGACAGGCCAACAGGCGUCGUACGCUGUACAAGAUGUAACCAACACAACCGCUAUGCAAGCUGAUCUCUGCUGAUCGCAGGUAACCAGAGGUAGGCAAUUCGGUUUCUACGGCUGCGGGAAGGCAUAAUUUCGGAUAAUAAACAUAAAACCUUUUU